UAAAAUUUUACUGAUAGUCGGUUUAGUAUAUCAUAAUUUUUGGUUGUAUACAUUGGAGUGAUUUACGAGUGAUUGCAAAGAUUCUUAUCUAAAGGAUUGCUAUAGGUGCAUAUUUAUUGAAAUUUAAAUUUGGAGCUUGGACACUUGCCAAACGCUUGCAGACAGAAUCUGGAGAACAAGGGAAAUAAAUAUUUUUCCAAAAUCAAAUAUAUGGGAACGUAUGUACAAUGUAUCUACAUAAGCAGCACCCUCAGCAGGCACAACGCAUUCAGAAUCACACACGGAAUCUUCUUACGAGAAAAGAAAA